rnacentral:snoRNA from 1 species
AUGCUGUUGACGUGAUGAGUUUCUCAUGUCUCUUCUCUGACAAAAUAAUGGAGAGAGCUUUAAACAUCUCUGAUCUCAGCAU